rnacentral:lncRNA from 1 species
CAUGCUGGAUCUAGGGAGGUGUAGGACUUUGUUGUAAUGCCCUUUUUUUGGGAAUUUUGUUGUACUGGUGAUUUUGCUGAGAAUUUGGUGUAUAUUUGCUUGCCACCAUGUUGACUUUAAAUUUAUUUUUGAAUUGGAAAAUAUAUUGGCAUUGAAUCUGGAUUGAAUGUAUAUCUAUGAUGUAAAUAUUAUUUGAUAUGAAGAGGCACAACCCAAAUCAAGAAG